rnacentral:rRNA from 1 species
UACGUAGGGUGCGAGCGUUGUCCGGAAUUAUUGGGCGUAAAGAGCUCGUAGGCGGUGUGUCACGUCGGCCGUGAAAACCUGCAGCUUAACUGUGGGCGUGCGGUCGAUACGGGCAUCACUGGAGUUCGGCAGGGGAGACUGGAAUUCCUGGUGUAGCGGUGAAAUGCGCAGAUAUCAGGAGGAACACCGGUGGCGAAGGCGGUUCUCUGGGCAUUACCUGACGCUGAGGAGCGAAAGCCAGGGGAGCAAACGGG